rnacentral:sRNA from 1 species
UUCUUUGGUGAGAUUAUGUCCACACUUAUUCUUUCAGCUUUCUUAAAGAGAAUAUUCAGUUUUAAAGAUCAUAGCCACUUGUUUUGAGAUUUAUGUAUUAGCUUCGGAGAUCAGAACAUAAGAAUUUGGGGUAUGCAAGUCAACUCCCUCACUUUCUUUUAAAAAUCCUGGGAAAUCCAUUAUACCUUCUGUGCCUGAUUUUCUUCCUUUGCAAGUGGGUUGCUUGGCGUCCAGCUCAGCCACUAAUGCAAGUCACCACAACAGGUACGUCUUCAAAUACCAUCUCAGCAGGCUGGGAGCCAAAUGAAGAAAAUGAAGAUGAAAGAGACAGACACCUCAGUUUUUCUGGAUCAGGCAUUGAUGAUGAUGAAGAUUUUAUCUCCAGCACCAUUUCAACCACACCACGGGCUUUUGACCACACGAAACAGAACCAGGACUGGACCCAGUGGAACCCAAGCCAUUCAAAUCCGGAAGUGCUACUUCAGACAACCACAAGGAUGACUGCAGAUGUAGACAGAAAUGGCACCACUGCUUAUGAAGGAAACUGGAACCCAGAAGCACACCCUCC